rnacentral:rRNA from 1 species
GAAGUGGGGAUGACGUCAAGUCCUCAUGGCCUUUAUGACCAGGGCUACACACGUACUACAAUGGCCGGUACAAAGGGCAGCGACACAGCGAUGUGAAGCGAAUCCCGAAAAGCCGGUCUCAGUCCGGAUUGGAGUCUGCAACUCGACUCCAUGAAGUUGGAAUCGCUAGUAAUCGCGGAUCAGCACGCCGCGGUGAAUACGUUCCCGGGCCUU